CCCCAUACAUAUAUUGUCUCCUUUAUUGUACUGCAAGAAAAGCAAACUUGCAGUUCAUGGGAGGACUGUUCUUUUGGUUUUUUAAUGGCAAACAUUUCAAUAAGUAGGCGAGGCAAGUGAUGGUCUGUAGGCCCUCAAAGCUACUCACAGGUAGCAAGCAGUGUUAAGCUCCUGCUGAUCUGCAUUUGUGCUGACUGACUGAGCAAAGUUUCUUCUCUAUUAUUGUAUAUUUGCCUUUGGAGAAGCAUCCCCAGGAAGGUUCUGCACUCUCCCUCUGAGCCUCUGUGCACUGCCAGUGCAUGGUGUGCUCCUGUUAGAGACUCAGGGCCAUUUGUUUCCAUCACAGAGUCACCACAGGGCUGCGGUGAGCCUCUAGACACAUGCUGGAAGUCACUCUGCAGGCAGCACCCAGACUGGCUGCAGACCAAAGAGCUACAAGUGGCUAAAAUACAGCACACACCACAGGGUAACAGUAAAACUAUUGUGACUAUCUCACAGGCACCAAUUCUGACCUCAUCAGCAAUCCUGCAAGAGGGAGUGAGGCUUCUGAGAACACACUCAUCUCUAUCUCCCUACUGCCAGUGUUGUCAGGGUGAGUCCUUGGAAAGCUGGAGGUUCUACCAGUGGAAGAGGAGAUGGCUCUGUCCAUACAGUCAGCACUGCUCUGAACCUGCCCAAACCUCUCCAUCUUUCCAUGUCUCAUAUGGAUGUCACUUAAACUGAAACUAAUUAAGAAACAUCUGCAGACAACAAAACAGUGUCAAGUGUGAACAACAAAAUUUCUUCUAAGAGAAGAGUAGAGCACACUCUCAACAAUUCUGGGAAAGCUCUGUCCAAACAAAUGCCAUGUUUAUGUCCUCACUGGAGUUCCAGUGUGUUUCAACCUGUCUCUCAAGAGCGCUGCAAACCAAGACAGUUUGACCCAGACAUUGCAAUCAGCAAUACUAAUUAAAUUUCAAACACCAUCAUCAGCUAGUCUGGUUUAGGUAUAGUGCUCUUAUAAGAGAUAGGAACAUAAAACAAUGAUUGCUUGCUUAUGAAAAAGAUAUUUUACUUUAAACUGAUAUUUUUUUUUCUUUUUAUAAUUCUCAAGAACUCACUAGAGAGUCUUGUAAAGGUUAUACUGAGGCAUUUUGCCUAUCUCUAACCCAAUUUCAUUUCUUUUAUGCUUCAUCUGAAGUCACUGGGAUUGUCAUGUUUCUUUAUGGGAUAAUUAUAACAUCCCUGUAAGGUUUUAUUACCUUAACACACUGGUAUAUAUUCUCAACCCUAACUCUAGUUUAAUACGUAUUUUUAAAUAAUUAAUAUGUAGCCUAGACAAGCAUGUGGUGCAGCAGAGAAAUUAGAAGUCAGGAGUGUCUCUGAGGGAAAGAUGCACCCUGUCCACAUUACUAUCCUUCCCAUAAGAAUGGUUAAGAGGGUUUAGACUCAAAAAAAUUUGGACCAUAACAUUUCUGGUUCAUUCCUGCUGGUAAAACAAACUUUUACAUGGUGUUGUCAACCUGAAGAAGCAAAAAAAAUAUGAGAUGAGGCUUCCACAUCAGGAUCACACGGUUGAAAAACAAUGUGGGGAAAAGGGCCAGUGGAUUUUGUGUUUGCAAUUGUGAGGAUAAGAAAAUGGGUUUUGCCUUUUUUUCUUUAUGCAGGAUGAUUUUCCCACAGGUCUAAGGGAAAAAAAUAAAAAUCAUUUGGUAAGGGCUUCA
rnacentral:lncRNA from 1 species